rnacentral:rRNA from 1 species
GACGAACGCUGGCGGCGUGCCUAAUACAUGCAAGUCGAACGCUGAAGGAGGAGCUUGCUUCUCUGGAUGAGUUGCGAACGGGUGAGUAACGCGUAGGUAACCUGCCUGGUAGCGGGGGAUAACUAUUGGAAACGAUAGCUAAUACCGCAUAAUAGUAGAUGUUGCAUGACAUUUGCUUAAAAGGUGCAAUUGCAUCACUACCAGAUGGACCUGCGUUGUAUUAGCUAGUUGGUGGGGUAACGGCUCACCAAGGCGACGAUACAUAGCCGACCUGAGAGGGUGAUCGGCCACACUGGGACUGAGACACGGCCCAGACUCCUACGGGAGGCAGCAGUAGGGAAUCUUCGGCAAUGGACGGAAGUCUGACCGAGCAACGCCGCGUGAGUGAAGAAGGUUUUCGGAUCGUAAAGCUCGGUUGUAAGAGAAGAACGAGUGUGAGAGUGGAAAGUUCACACUGUGACGGUAUCUUACCAGAAAGGGACGGCUAACUACGUG